UGUAUUCACUAAUGUCCUGAGCUACAC
rnacentral:piRNA from 1 species